CCUACGGGUGGCAGCAGUGGGGAAUAUUGGUCAAUGGGCGCAAGCCUGACCCAGCAACGCCGCGUGAAGGAAGAAGGCUCUCGGGUUGUAAACUUCUUUUAUCAGGGACGAAGCAAGCGACGGUACCUGCUGAAUAAGCCUCGGCGAACUACGUGCCAGCAGCCGCGGUAAUACGUAGGUGGCAAGCGUUAACCGGAUUUACUGGGUGUAAAGGGCGUGUAGGCGGGAAAGCAAGUCAGAUGGGAAAACCAUGGGCUCAACCUGGGGCCUGCAGUUGAAACUGGUUUUCUUGAGUACUGGAGAGGUAGACGGAAUUCCUAGUGUAGCGGUGAAAUGCGUAGAUAUUAGGAGGAACACCAGUGGCGAAGGCGGUCUGCUGGACAGCAACUGACGCUGAGGCGCGAAAGCGUGGGGAGCAAACAGGAUUAGAUACCCUAGUAGUC
rnacentral:rRNA from 1 species